CCUACGGGAGGCAGCAGUGGGGAAUAUUGCACAAUGGGGGAAACCCUGAUGCAGCGACGCCGCGUGAGUGAAGAAGUAAUUCGUUACGUAAAGCUCUAUCAGCCGGGAAGAAACACUGACCUUACGGUCAGCAGACGGUACCUGAGUAAGAAGCCCCGGCUAACUACGUGCCAGCAGCCGCGGUAAUACGUAGGGGGCAAGCGUUAUACGGAUUUACUGGGUGUAAAGGGAGCGUAGACGGUGCGCCAAGUCUGGAGGGAAAUGCCGCAGCUUAACUGCGGAACGGCUUUGGAAACUGGCGAACUAGAGGGCGGGAGUGGUAAGCGGAAUUCCUGGUGUAGCGGUGAAAUGCGUAGAUAUUAGGAGGAACACCGGUGGCGAAGGCGGCUUACUGGACCGUAACUGACGUUGAGGCUCGAAAGCGUGGGGAGCAAACAGGAUUAGAUACCCCUGUAGUC
rnacentral:rRNA from 1 species